UUAAAAAUAAGCUAAUUUAAGCUUUUGGGUUCAUACCUCAAAUAUAAAGAGACAUCUUUUUUUUAAA
rnacentral:tRNA from 1 species